GAGUUAAUAUUUAAUAGGUAGAGUUUCAGUUUUGUGAAAACAAGGUGUUCUGGAGAUGGCUGGGGGUGAUGGCUGCACAAGUCACCGAACUGCACACUGAAAACUAGUUAAAAUGGUCAGCUUAUGAGCAAUAAUUCUGGGUGUCAGCAUAUCAGAAUUCCAGCGGCUGUGAGUGGAAUAAAGAUGGGUUGCUGUAAUUUGGCCAUCCAAAUCGUCGUAUUACACCCACCAGCCCACACAUCUGCCAGUCUUCUGCAGGAGAUGGUUUUGAAAGCGUGUGCCCAAAUCCGGAACCAGAUGAUGGCAUUCGAGGGGCCAGUAUGGGCUGGGCACAGGCCUCUGAUGAGAGGAAUGAACCAGACCGUAGGAGCACGCGACUCUCCUGGAGAGAAUGGGCCCUGCCUGGCCACAAACGGGGGUGGGGGGAGGCAUUCCUGAGCCCAUGGCAGAGGUCCUACAUUCCUGGGAGGCGGGGGAAGCUGGUCCGCUAAUUAUCAAUCACGGAAAAAUAAACCUGCCCACUAAAGAGGACAUGAUGUGUAGUACAGGACCAGAGGAACUGGGGAUUUUUUAAAAUUUAGAAACCUUCUACAGGAAUAGGCAGGCAUUAAAACAUAUAUGGAAUUAGGCCCCAUCGUCAAAGUUAAUAUUCACCAUAUGUAUUUACAUUCAACGCAACUCCAGCAAAUGUGUACUGCCUUACAGCACGUAGGGAGGGGAGAUUGCCUCUUGCUCAGGCUGACAUUAGGUUGAGUUACUGUUCUGCUGUAGCCUUCUCCAGAACAUCUAAAGACAGUCGAGAAAAAUCAGACUGAAAAUCCUCCUUUUGGAUCUGCCUCCUAAUUUCAAAUACAAAUUAGUGAAAUUUUAACAUUUCAGAUAUCACACCUUGAGCAAAUUAAAAAUCAACAAAAAUAUUAGGGUUCUCUGUGACCUGCUCAUGUGUACAGAAUGUAUAAAAACUUUAAUCAAACACUCGGGUUUGCUCAGUUUUAAAUUGUGUUACUUUAAUAGUUUCUUUUCUGCUGUUUAUAUUAAUGACAUAUUCCCAUCUAAAUACAUUGCUGUGCCGAAAAGCCAUCACAACAUUUCUAAGGUUGAAUGAAUGCGGUUGUAUUCAUGGUUUUUUAAUAAAAAGAUCUUUUUCUAUUAA